rnacentral:tRNA from 1 species
UCCCUGGUGGCUCAGAGGGUAAAGCGUCUGCCUGCAAUGCGGGAGACCCGGGUUUGAUCCCUGGGUUGGGAU